rnacentral:lncRNA from 1 species
ACCAUACUUGAGAAAGGGUUUAUUUUGGCUCUUGUAAGCAACAGGAUGCUGUGCAUCACUUUUCCUAUGCUGUUGUGGAUGCUUGGUCCUGUCCCGGUUUGGUUGUCAUCUUUGGCGAUGGUUUGGGGGCUUUAUGGGCUGGAUUUUCCUGGCAAGUUCAAUAAAAGCAAUAAGCAAAAUCUCAGUUGAUGACUGAAACGAAAUAUUUAGACUUUGCCUGCAGUAAAUAUUGGAACUUUUGUUUUAGCUUGUUGCUCAGUUUGUGUUAGCACUAAAGGAACUUGGCACCAAAAUAGAAACAACCUUACGUGCUUCAGUUGAAAAAUGAAGCAUAGCAAAAUUGUCUAAGAGCGUCUUUUCUCUUGCAUUUAAGUUCAGAUCCUCUUCUCGUAGAGACGCGGCCAUAAAUGGAAUAGGUAGGAAUGAUCACCGUUAAAUCUUAGAACGUAAACUGAGCAAUUCGUAAUGCACCAGAAAAUAGAGAACUUUACAGUUGAAC